rnacentral:rRNA from 1 species
CACCGCCCGUCACACCAUGGGAGUUUGUUGCAUCAGAAGCAGGUAGCUUAACCGCAAGGGGGGCGCUUGCCACGGUGUGGCCGAUGACUGGGGUG